AAAAUGUAACGGAGGCGCCCAAAGGUUCCCUCAGCCUGGUUGGCAAUCAGGUGUCGAGUGCAAGUGCACAAGGGAGCUUGACUGUGAGAGUGGCAGCUCGAGCAGGGACGAAAGUCGGGACUAGUGAUCCGGCGGCUCGUUGUGGAACGGCCGUCGCUCAACGGAUAAAAGGUACCUCGGGGAUAACAGGCUGAUCUUGCCCAAGAGUCCAUAUCGACGGCAUGGUUUGGCACCUCGAUGUCGGCUCGUCGCAUCCUGGGGCUGGAGUAGGUCCCAAGGGUUGGGCUGUUCGCCCAUUAAAGCGGUACGCGAGCUGGGUUCAGAACGUCGUGAGACAGUUCGGUCCCUAUCCUCUGCGCGCGUUGGAAAUUUGAGAAGGUCUGUCCUUAGUACGAGAGGACCGGGACGGACGAACCUCUGGUAUGUCAGUUGUACCGCCAGGUGCAUGGCUGAUUAGCUACGUUCGGGAUGGAUAACCGCUGAAAGCAUCUAAGCGGGAAGCCGGCUUCGAGAUGAGAUUUCCUUGCCCCUUUGAGGGUGUGAGGCCCCCAGCUAGAACACUGGGUUGAUAGGCUGGAUGUGGAAGCGAGGACUGAAGACUCGUGAAGCUGACCAGUACUAAUAGGCCGAUGACUUACACAC
rnacentral:rRNA from 1 species